AACAUGGUGUGUGGUGUCACACAGAAGAUCAUGUUAUUAGUUCCUUAUAAAUUAUAAAUAGUAGCUCACAAUCAAGAUGGAUUGGGACAAACCAUUGGAAUGGUUGUAGUGUAAGAUAUGUACACUAGUAGUCUCUUAACAUUUUCCGUGUCUAGUGAUUUUGUUUGUUUCAUUGUUUCAGGUGAGACCAAGAUAUGUAUACAGUAACCAUGGAUCCAUUUGAGGCUUUGUUGAUUGAGAGAGCUGAACUUGACGAUAAUGAUAACAUGAGGAAGGGCACUUAAAUUGACUCCAAUUGGCAUGUGAUUAAGGCCAACAAGCUUGGUUCAUACAACAAAUGGAGAAGCUCAAGUCCUACUCAAUUCAACCCAUUCCAAGGAUCUUAACCCAAGCCAAAUCCACCUCACUAAAACCCUAAAUUCCCCACUAAACCAAACCUAAACCCAAUUCAAGGUCCGGUUCAAAAUCUGGUAUAAAAACCCAGAUUUCGCGGAUGAACAGUGGCUUGCGCUACUGUUCAUCCGCGACAUCUUCUUCAUCGCGCGCCCCUUCUCCACUUCGAGAUCUAUCUUCCGGCUGAUUUCAUCGGCGACGAGGUUCCCAGUGAUUGGCGAUCAAUUCCAUCCAUCCGAUCUCGCUUAAAGGCGUUCCUGCGGUGACAAUCGAUUCUGUAUGCUCUAUUUUCGCCAUUGAACAGAGGCGUUCCUCCGUUUCAGCGAUUUCGCCCACAACAGUGUCAUCGGCGGCGUUCUUCCGGUGGCUCUAGAUCCCUUCCGAAGACUUUCCAUUCUCCAACAGUGCCUCAUCAUAUCAGAACCACAGAGUGUCAGAAUUGCAGAUUUGGAAUGGAUGUGGCAGUUUGUUCUUCACAACUUCGCGAAGAGGUUUUCUUUGCGCGAUUUAUGGUGAGAUCGAACUGAGUUUAGUUGUUGAGAUCUUCUUCUUCGAUUGCUAAAGUGAGGUUUCACCAAGCUUCCUUGUGUGACAGCAAGGAGAAGUUGCUGUGUAGUGUGGUUUGGAUGAGGAGAUUGUUAUCUUUGUUUCUUGCAUUUCUUUAAUUCUAGAAUAGAUUUCUUCUAUGUUUGUUAUGUUCUCAUUCAGUAAUCCAGCACUUCUUAAUUUUGUUGAA